rnacentral:rRNA from 1 species
UACGUAGGGUGCAAGCGUUGUCCGGAAUUAUUGGGCGUAAAGAGUUCGUAGGCGGUUUGUCGCGUCUGCUGUGAAAACCCGAGGCUCAACCUCGGGCCUGCAGUGGGUACGGGCAGACUAGAGUGCGGUAGGGGAGAUUGGAAUUCCUGGUGUAGCGGUGGAAUGCGCAGAUAUCAGGAGGAACACCAAUGGCGAAGGCAGAUCUCUGGGCCGUAACUGACGCUGAGGUGCGAAAGCGUGGGGAGCAAACAGG